GAGGAGUUCAGCAUGUCAGGCAGUGUCCGUGGAAGUGAAUAAAACGUCGACAUUUUGGGCCAAGACCCUUCCUCAGGACUGUAAAGGAAAGGAGAAGAUGCCAGAAUACAAAGUACCAGCGACCCCUGUUCAUUCACUGCUGCUCUCUGUAAGGAGUUUGUAUGUUCUCCCCAUGACCGCGUGGGUUUCCUCCCGGUGCUUAUGGAACUGCUUUGAUUUCCUCGUCCCUUUCAAAUGGAUGCUUCAAAGAAUGCACACAACAAAGAGCGAAAUGUAAUGAAAAUCCACCAGUCCCAAUUGUUGGGGAGAAAACGGUCCUGAAAAGAAAACGAAUCUUCUUGCCAAGCUCACGUAGACGAUUAACAAAGGUGGAAGAUCAUCUUAAGAAUACACAUUUUGGAAUACUAAUACUACUUUUUUCCCUCUAUCCAGAGAUUCUUUCUGUCCUUAAGUGUUAUGCCCCUCAGUGUAAAAUCUGCGUGGCCAGAUCUGUAUUGUUUACCAAUAACAUAUGAAACAAGAGUGUUAAAUGCCUUAGUUACAAUUGUCGGUGAUAAUGAAAUACCUUUCAACUGAAGCAUGAGGUUCGCUGGUUGAUAACUCUAGAUUUACUUCCGAAUUCAUUGACUGCGAAGCUGAUGGGGAAAGGGCGUUAUACUAUGUGAAAGUUCUCUGUCCUUUGUUCGCAUCCAUCACUCCCCAAAAAUAAGAGCGUUCUUGCUAUAAAGUUAGCUUUAAAGAUAGAAUUUCUCAGCGUGAUCUAAUUCAGGCUAGCCCUGGAGGCUCUAUUUGUGCGAUACUGUGAUCUGACAGUGUCAAACAGUUGUUGCCAAUAAAUCUCGGAAAUGCGUCUGACUGGUGACUUUGUGUUUCAAGUAAA